CAUAGUCCACUACGCCUGGAACGGUGAGUGGAUCAAAGCUCAGGCGGCAUAGGAUGGGCCUGCGGCGUAUCAGGUUGUAGGGGGUGUAAAGUACCCUCUAGCCAUCUACGCGUACGGGUGUUGGGAGACAUAGCCCGGAGAUGGAUUCUGAGACACGAAUCCAGACCCUACGGGGUGCAGCAGGCGCGAAAACUUGACAAUGCGAGCAAUCGUGAUCAGGGAACUCCAAGUGGCUGGGGUAAGACCCAGUCUUUUCAUAACUCUUCAAAGGUUGUAGAAUAAGGGGUGGGUAAGGACGGUGCCAGCCGCCGCGGUAAUACCGGCGCCUCAAGUGGUAGUCGCUUUUAUUGGGCCUAAAACGUCCGUAGCCGGUUUGGUACAUUCGUGGGUAAAUCAACUCGCUCAACGAGUUGAAUUCUGCGAGGACGGCCAAACUUGGGACCGGGAGAGGUGUGGGGUACUCUCAGGGUAGGGGUAAAAUCCUGUCAUCCUGAGAGGACCACCUGUUGCGAAGGCGCCACACUAGAACGGAUCCGACGGUCAGGGACGAAGCCUAGGGGCACGAACCGGAUUAGAUACCCGGGUAGUCCUAGGUGUAAACGCUGUGGACUUGAUGUUGGAGAAGCUCCGAGCUUCUUCAGUGUCGAAGCGAAGGUGAUAAGUCCACUGCCUGGGAAGUACGGUCGCAAGGCUGAAACUUAAAGGAAUUGGCGGGGGAGCACCGCAACCUGAGGAUUGUGCGGUUUAAUUGGACUCAACGCCGGGA
rnacentral:rRNA from 1 species